GACGAACGCUGGCGGCGUGCCUAAUACAUGCAAGUCGAGCGGAGUUAUUCCUUCGGGAAUAGCUUAGCGGCGGACGGGUGAGUAACACGUGGGUAACCUGCCUAUAAGACUGGGAUAACAUCCGGAAACGGAUGCUAAUACCGGAUACGCGAAUCUAUCGCAUGAUGGAUUCGGGAAAGACGGAGCAAUCUGUCACUUAUAGAUGGACCCGCGGCGCAUUAGCUAGUUGGUGAGGUAAUGGCUCACCAAGGCGACGAUGCGUAGCCGACCUGAGAGGGUGAUCGGCCACACUGGGACUGAGACACGGCCCAGACUCCUACGGGAGGCAG
rnacentral:rRNA from 1 species